AUUGAACGCUGGCGGCAGGCCUAACACAUGCAAGUCGAACGAGUGGCGGACGGGUGAGUAAUGUCUGGGAAACUGCCUGAUGGAGGGGGAUAACUACUGGAAACGGUAGCUAAUACCGCAUACCAUUCGCUGUGCCCAGAUGGGUUUAGCUUGUCGGUGGGGUAACGGCUCACCAAGGCGACGCUCCCUAGCUGGUCUGAGAGGAUGACCAGCCACACUGGAACUGAGACACGGGCCAGACUCCUACGGGAGGCAGCAGUGGGGAAUAUGGCGCAAUGGGCGCAAGCCUGAUGCAGCCAUGCCGCGUGUAUGAAGAAGGCCUUCGGGUUGUAAAGUACUUUCAGCGGGGAGGCGUUACCCGCAGAAGAAGCACCGGCUAACUCCGUGCCAGCAGCCGCGGUAAUUC
rnacentral:rRNA from 1 species